GAUGAACGCUAGCGGCAGGCUUAACACAUGCAAGUCGAGGGGUAGUCUAGCAAUAGAUGAGACCGGCGCACGGGUGCGUAACGCGUAUGCAACCUACCUUUUACAGAGGGAUAGCCCAGAGAAAUUUGGAUUAAUACCUCAUAGUAUAUAACCUUCGCAUGUUGGUUAUAUUAAAGUUCCAACGGUAAAAGAUGGGCAUGCGUCCUAUUAGCUAGAUGGUAAGGUAACGGCUUACCAUGGCUACGAUAGGUAGGGGUCCUGAUAGGGAGAUACCCCACACUGGUAGUGAGACACGGACCAGACUCCUACGGGAGGCAGCAGUGAGGAAUAUUGGAAAAUGGGCGCAAGCCUGGUCCAGCCAUGCCGCGUGCAGGAAGAAGCAUCUAUGGUGUGUAAACUGCUUUUGUACGGGAAGAAACACCCCUUCGUGAAGGGACUUGACGGUACCGUAAGAAUAAGGAUCGGCUAACUCCGUGCCAGCAGCCGCGGUAACAC
rnacentral:rRNA from 1 species